rnacentral:tRNA from 1 species
UGCGGAUGUGGCGGAACUGGCAGACGCACCAGCCUUAGGAGCUGGCGGGCAACCGUGGGGGUUCAAAUCCCUUCAUCCGCAU